rnacentral:rRNA from 1 species
CAGGCUUAACACAUGCAAGUCGAGGGGCAGCGCGGGGUAGCAAUACUCUGGCGGCGACCGGCGAAAGGGUGAGUAACGCGUGAGCAACAUGCCCGGUAGAGAGGGAUAGUCGAUGGAAACGUCGCGUAAUACCUCGUAAUACAAGGGGUCGCAUGGUUCUUUGUUGAAAGAUUUAUCGCUACCGGAUUGGCUCGCGUACCAUUAGCUAGUUGGCGGGGUAACGGCCCACCAAGGCGACGAUGGUUAGGGGUUCUGAGAGGAAGGUCCCCCACAUUGGAACUGAGACACGGUCCAGACUCCUACGGGAGGCAGCAGUGAGGAAUAUUGGACAAUGGCCGGAAGGCUGAUCCAGCCAUGCCGCGUGCGGGAAGACGGCCCUAUGGGUUGUAAACCGCUUUUGUUGGGGAGCAAUAAGGUCCACGUGUGGAUUGAUGAGAGUACCCAGCGAAUAAGCAUCGGCUAACUCCGUGCCAGCAGCCGCGGUAAUACGGAGGAUGCGAGCGUUAUCCGGAUUUAUUGGGUUUAAAGGGUGCGUAGGCGGAUUUUUAAGCGUGAGGUGAAAUGCCCGGGCUCAACCUGGGAACUGCCUCGCGAACUGGAAGUCUGGAAUGUCCGUGCCGUGGGAGGAAUGUGUGGCGUUCCU